AUUGAACGCUGGCGGCAGGCCUAACACAUGCAAGUCGAGCGAGCGGCGGACGGGUGAGUAAUGCCUAGGAAUCUGCCUGUUAGUGGGGGAUAACGUCCAGAAACGGGCGCUAAUACCACAUACUAUCAGAUGUGCCCAGAUGGGAUUAGCUUGUUGGUGGGGUAACGGCUCACCAAGGCGACGAGCCCUAGCUGGCCUGAGAGGAUGACCAGCCACACUGGAACUGAGACACGGUCCAGACGCCUACGGGAGGCAGCAGUGGGGAAUAUUGCACAAUGGGCGCAAGCCUGAUGCAGCCAUGCCGCGUGUAUGAAGAAGGCCUUCGGGUUGUAAAGUACUUUCAGCGGGGAGGCGUUACCCGCAGAAGAAGCACCGGCUAACUCCGUGCCAGCCGCCGCGGUAAUAC
rnacentral:rRNA from 1 species